AUACGGAGGGUGCAAGCGUUAUUCGGAAUCACUGGGCGUAAAGCGCGCGUAGGCGGAUGAUUAAGUCAGUUGUGAAAGCCCUGGGCUCAACCUAGGAACUGCAUCUGAUACUGGUCGUCUAGAGUUUAAGAGAGGGAAGUGGAAUUCCAGGUGUAGCAGUGAAAUGCGUAGAUAUCUGGAGGAACAUCAGUGGCGAAGGCGACUUCCUGGCUUAAAACUGACGCUGAGGUGCGAAAGCGUGGGUAGCGAACGGGAUUAGAAACCCUUGUAGUCC
rnacentral:rRNA from 1 species